rnacentral:misc_RNA from 1 species
GUUUGAUUAUACUGGAUCGCCGAUCAGCUAACUGUGUGCUCAAAGGGCCGACAAGUUGCUUUAGAAGUCCACGAAAACAAGGAAAAUCAGUUGCACCUCCAAUAACAAGAGCUUCAAUUCUCUGCAUAGCAGAAAUACGGAUAGACCAGUCCUUCUCUGGCACAAGGGUAGAGGCAAUCUUCUCAAAUUCCCUAACCAACUCCUUUUCUGAGUACACUUUAAUUGGCUCGACAGGUUUCUCCGUAAUAUCAGCAUCCCCUCCAAAAAGAGACACCUCUCUUGUUGAGUUUUUAGCCUUUGGGCUGCUUUUCUUGGGAUUAAGACCAGUGGAUCUCACCUCUGUAGCUGCAUAGUUUCUCGAUACUCCAUCUGCUAAGGGAUUUUUGGGCUCAAUCUUCUCUAGUCUGGCAUUAAUAUCUUUUAGCAUCAUGGUAGGAAGAUGAUGGCGCUGAAGUUCAUCACGGAACUGAGGUCCAGCCUGUGAAUACAUCUCCUCAAUACAUGAUAUGGCUGCAUCUCUAACACCGGGAUUAGGAUCACUCAACAUUUGCAAAAUCGGAGGAAGAAUAGUUCGUUGAAGGGGCAGCUCAGUUGAUGCAAAAAGACCAAUUGCUGAUGUAACAGUACGAGCAAAUUCUUCUCGAACUCUGAAACUUCUGUGCAUCCAAGCAUAAGACCCUGCCCUCUCAACGAUAAUAGUUGGUGAAGAAACCUGCAUCAAAGUAAGCAGCAAUCGCCUGGCAGCAUCUCUAACCGGCUGUUUAGCAUCGCCCAAUCUUUCUACAACGGCAGGUACAAGAGCAUUGAAAUGAAGCUUAAAAUGUUCACCAGAUAGAACAGCAGCGGAAUCAAGUGAUUGUAAAGCACCCUGACAGACCCUGAAGUUGUUGUCUUUAAGAAGAUCUAUGCAUACAUCAACAAGCGAAGUAACCUCAGAAGAAGAGAGACUCUUUCUAGAAGCUUCGAGAAGUUCGUGAAGUCUCUCCACACCGGCCAUUCUCUCCUUCGUAUCCUUGGCUCGCGCCAAUUCCAGUGCCUCCUCCAUCGCGGGGGGUUAGUAGGGUUCCGAUCUGGUGCUAUGAAGGUCAGAUCUGCGGUGGAUUUGGGAGGAAAAAGUGACAGAGGAGAGUGAACUGUGAAGAAAGAGAAAGGAGAGGGAUUUUAGAAUUAGUACA